ensembl:lncRNA
ACUGGCCCAAAGAACAAAAAUGGAUACAAGCAGAUCUAAAUCUGGACUGAACUCUCUCUCCACCUCCUCCCUGGAGCAGAGCCCAGCGGGGCGUCGGUCUUCAGGUGAGCAGCAGACCUGCACAGAUCUUCUCCUCUUCAUGAAGCCUCUCAGAUGUUCCACCGUCUGCUCUCCAUCUCUUCAUCUCGACCCUCCGUGACCUCCAACCUCCUCUCAGACGCCCCGAGGCCUGAUGGGAAAAUGAGGCAGAGGCUGAUUUACAUCCUUUAAUCUGCUGCAGACGAGGUUCAGAUGUUUGUUUCCACCAAACCCUCAGAGAACCGAAGGAGAACCAUAAACCAGAUCAGCUGGAGGAGACCAAACACGGAGCUAAAAGGAAUGAUUCCAGGUCCCAGGAGGUUGAGUGUUUCCUCAUUUCCUCGUGUCCCCUCUCCAACCUCCGACUGAUUAAUGACACAAUUAAAGCACCGACAGCUCAGUGUGAAUUUCUGAGCUUCAUUAGCAUGUUAAAGAUGAGUUCAUUAGCGGAGGUCACCGCAGGACAGAGCUUUGUUCAACAAAAAGGAGAACAGAACGUUCACGGUUUGAUUCCGGACCUUCAGCCCAGAUGAAGACGGAAACACCUGAAGACAUCCAGCAGCUUUAAGCAAAAACUGGAAAAGAAAGAUUUAAAAUGAACAGAAACACAAAGAACUGGAGGAAAGAGACACAAAAUGGACACAAAUCAACGCACAACAACUGAAAAGAGACACAAAAACAUCAAAACAAGAUGGAUAAAACCACAAAAGACAAGAAAACUGUUGGAAAAGAAACAAGAAGAUACAAUAAGAACAUGCAGCACAGCAACAACAGAGAGACUCACAAACCAACAAAAUAGGCAGAAAAUGACGACAACAAGAUAUAAAAUGUACAGAAAGACACAACUGAUUAAAAAGAAACACAAAAUUAACAAAAAUUGAAGCACAAGAACAAAAAGAGACACAAAAACACCACAACAAAAUGUAAAGUGACCACAAAGAUACAGAAAACUGUUAGAUAAGACACAAAAAGACACAAGAUGAAAAAAGGCCACAACACAGAGACUCACAAACCAACAAGAGGCAGAAAACGAUGACAACAAGAUGUAAAAUGGACACAAAGACACACAAAUGUUGGUGAGGAGAUUCAAAAGAGAGAAAUAAAAAACCUUUAAGAGACACAAGAGUCUGAAAUAUCACCAAUGUUUGUGUCGUCCUGCUAAACUGCAGACAGGAAACAGUUCUAUUGAUUGAUCAGCUGAUCAUUUUGUUGAUAAAUCGAUCAAUAACUGAUGAAAAACCUUCAAACUGUUUGAUUUGUUUCUGAGACAGAAACUGAAGACGAGCAGCGACACGUCUGAAGGUUUUAAACCAGCUGCAGGAAGAGGUCAUAAGAGGUUAUUAGAGGUCAUCAGGUGAUCAGCUGACCUAUGACCUCAUCCUGCAGGUUGCUAUGACGAUGACAGUCAAAACCUCCUUAAGGUGGACGGUUUCCUCCAUCCUCCUUAAACAUCCAGAAUAGACGACCUGAUUUCUGAAAGGAGGACGAAGAGAAACUGAAGAGUCUCAGAGGAACCAGGAUCAGGACUGAACCAGUUCUGGAUCUGGAUCUGAAUCUGGAUCUGGAUCUGGACCAGAGCCCAGAUCACACUUCAUCCUUAGACAGUAAUAGAAUUAUUUUAAUUUUAUUCUAAUAUUCAGUCAUAUUUAAUAUUCAUAUUGUGAAAUAUUGUUAUUUCUUUCAAAGGAAAAAACAGCUUUUAUUUUUUAUUUACUUAAAUAUUAUGCUUUAACUAUAUUACACCCAAUGUUCUGAAAUAUUAUGACAUUAUUUUCAAAAUAUUAUUCUAUUUGAAUGUUAUGCUUUUUUUUUUAAACAUUAUAG